rnacentral:rRNA from 1 species
CAGUCGCCACGGGAAUACGAAGGGGGCUAGCGUUGUUCGGAAUUACUGGGCGUAAAGCGCACGUAGGCGGAUAUUUAAGUCAGGGGUGAAAUCCCGCAGCUCAACUGCGGAACUGCCUUUGAUACUGGGUAUCUUGAGUAUGGAAGAGGUUAGUGGAAUUGCGAGUGUAGAGGUGAAAUUUGUAGAUAUUCGCAGGAACACCAGUGGCGAAGGCGGCUAACUGGUCCAUAACUGACGCUGAGGUGCGAAAGCGUGGGGAGCAAACAGGAUUAGAGACCCCCGUAGUCCCUGUCUCUUAUAC